UCGGAUGAACAUUGUCACACCCGGUUUUAAAAAAGAAAACCAGCUAGCCAUAUGUGUGCCCAGGAAGUCCACACAUACAAUAACAGAAGCAAUAAUAUCAAAAACAAUGUUAUAUAGCGGAAAUAUACUUAAAAUUAAUACUUACAUCAGAGUAUCACGAAACAGUAACUAAUCUUCAGGCUUAACCUUCACAGGGACGGCUAACUGGGGGUAACAUAUGCCUAGCACUUCUGGUAUCCUGAGAACGUCCUUCGUGAUUCCACCAUCCUUCUAAUCAUCCCUUUAUAGUAGACUGGAGUGGUGGGAAAUAGCAAGAGUGAGCACAUAUCGUACUCAACAAGUAUAACCAGGGGUUCAUGAGGCUCAAACAGCUGACACUGGUUUGACUGCAUUUAGCUUUUACUAGUGGAUAGCAUGUUUAAUCAUUGGAUAGCAAAUAUCAAGGUAGCAUAAUUAAUCCCAUAACCACAUGAUCAAUGUAUACAAGAAUCAAGAAUAACACAUAUAAACAACAUAAUAAAUCAUCAGUUAUUAUCAUUAAUCAUGUUCAUCAGUGUCCAUCUAUUCCGUCAGUUUUCCGGGCCGCCCGUAUCCGUGGGCACGGCUAGUAUACCAGAUUUAACACUCUGCAGAGGUUGUACAUCUUUACCCAUGAGUCGUGAUUUACCAUUUCGCCCGAGGUAGCUAGUCUCUUAACCCCCUCCAAGGGAGGUCGGCAGGGAUCACAAUGAAGCUUUUCAAAAGUUCGUCUAACAUGUUAGGGCCGCAAGGUUUCCUUCACGAGCAGAUAUAGAUACCCCCUUCCGAAUGGCACAAUGACGCGCAGCCUAUACACAUAGGGACAGGGGCUCGCACUAUACCCGUGUCGGUUCAGCCCCUCUAGCGCCCUUUUGGGUAACCUCUAACAAGCUAAAAAAGGUCUUCAUACUGAGCUAAAGCCAGAGCCAUAUAGCCCUCAUGGUUGUACGAGUUGUCCCAGCUUUUGCCAAGGGAUAAGUCCUUAUGAAGGGUCAAGAUCAAUCCAGCAAUAGCUAGAGUUCUUUCCACCCUUUAUAUUCAAGUUGCUAGAAAGCUUAUUUUAUUGUUUAUUGUGUAUCCAACUAUUCAUGUUAUAAGAUCAUGGAUUAAUAAUCAAGCACUAGCAAGAACUACCCAAAUGCAUAUCCAAAUAGGUAACAAGGAAUUCAGGAUAACAAUCAUCUAUGAUUUUGCUAAGGUCAUCAAGGUGGGCACAUGCAUAUGAUAUAUAUUAAAAGUGUGUAGGUAACAAGGAUAAUCCCAAGUUAUACUUGCCUUAAGCACUUGCACAAUUCUCACAUCAUCAGCUUUUGGUCAUCACCUUCUUCGGCGCUCACAAACAAUUCUCGUCUACUCGUAGCAAGCACCACACAUAGACAAACAUACAAGCAACAAAUAGAACAAAUAAGAACAACACAUCAAUGAGAAGAAAUACUUUAAAAGAGAGCGUACUAAACAGCCUAGAACGGAGCUAUCGUUAAAAGGAUUGCGACUGUUGUGACUGACUAUAAAAAGAGGCAAAAUACUCUGAAGUGUAUUUAUUUUAUUUUAGUAAAACUAGGUGAUGCAUAUUUUAGAGAAAUAUCCUAAGGUAGAAUUAAUUAAUUUAGAUUGAUUAUAAAGCCAGAGUUAAAACUUAAUUAUAUUUUAUUAUUACAAAUAAUUAUAUAUCAUUUAAUCUAUUUAAGUAUUUAUAAUUUAGGAAGCAUAGAGCAAGUGAGAGCAACUAAUUGAAUAAUCAUGUUUCAAGGUUUAUCUAAGCAGAUCAUAUUUCAACAGACUUUAAUGUUGGUAUUGAUCAUAUUAACAUUUAUUUAUGAAAUACUAGAGUUAUAAACUUAAGUUGUUGUUAAUAAAUUAAAAGACAGCAGGUAAACAUUAACCAUAUUAGUUACCAUUUAAUAUUUAGCUAAACCACUAUAAUUAAGAAACAUUUAAGUUGUUAUUAAUUAUAUUGACAGUUAUUUAUUUAUUUACAAGGAUUGAAAUUAUAAAUCUAAGUCAUCUUUCGUUCAAGAAGACACAUAUAAACAUGAAUCAAAUUAAUAUGAUUAAUUAAAUUCCUAAACCUAUAACAUAACAAACAUUGUUGCUAACAAGUAGCUUAUGGUCGGCACAGUCGUGGCGCAAUCAAGAAUGAAUUUACGACCCUAAGUUGGUUUCAGUUAGCUAUUAGAUAAAUACUAGCAAAUUACAUUUAAAUUAAAUUAAUAAAAAUUCAGAAUUUCGAUACAUAAUAAACAUUUGUACCACUGUGUAGAGUGCGAUAACACAAAUCUAACACAACUUGAACGAACUAAAUUGGAGUUAGAAUGAUUAAACUGCGGAGAAUACGAACGGGUGGCAAUUUCAUAAAUACCUCAUCUUCUUCCUUGGAUUAGCCGAACGUGACCCCUAUGGCCAUGGCCACGAAGUGGCAGGGAAAAGGGGCUCGGCUUGGGCAUACUUGCCGGCUGGGACGAGGUGCGGACGACGAAGCCACGUCUGGCUGGGCCAACCACCUCCGCAUGAUCUAUUGUUGGGCAAACUGUGAACUAAUCUCUCUCUGAUCUCGUAGCCAAUAACCUGAUAGCCUCUGUGUGAGAUCGAUUUGCCCUCCAAGCCUUUGUAGCAUGCCACCGUGGAGCAGCAAACAAACACAGACACACCAUGCUGCCUCUGUCUGUGCGUGCAGCAGGGCAGGCCGCCGGGAAACAAUGGCGGGUAGAAACGCAUAGUUAGCGAGCUGAGCAAAUGGACGGAUGCCAGAGGAAGAUCGGGAGAUGGAUGGGAGGAUGAUGCGGCGUUGCCCUCGGCAAGCAAGAUCAAUCGAGACGAUCGAGUCUCGAGCCGAGCGAUGCGUGCGGCGGCAGCUUGGCUUUU
rnacentral:lncRNA from 1 species